GGGAGCAUAGCUCAGCGGUUAGAGCAGGCGACUCAUAAUCGCUUGGUCGGGGGUUCGAAUCCCUCUGCUCCCA
rnacentral:tRNA from 1 species